rnacentral:rRNA from 1 species
AAAAUGACUCUCGGCAACGGAUAUCUCGGCUCUCGCAUCGAUGA